UCAACGCUGGCGGCGUGCCUAACACAUGCAAGUCGAGCGCGAAAGGGAGCUUCGGUUCCUGAGUAGAGCGGCGGACGGGUGAGUAACACGUGGGUAACCUGCCUUCGGGUGGGGAAUAACCUCGGGAAACCGGGGCUAAUUCCGCAUAACAUUUCGGGCUCAUAAGAGUCUGUAAUCAAAGCUGGGGAUCCUUCGGGACCUGGCGCCUGAAGAGGGGCCCGCGGCCGAUUAGCUUGUUGGUGAGGUAAUGGCUCACCAAGGCUCCGAUCGGUAGCCGGCCUGAGAGGGCGGACGGCCACACUGGGACUGAGACACGGCCCAGACUCCUACGGGAGGCAGCAGUGGGGAAUUUUUGUCAAUGGGGGAAACCCUGAACAAGCAACGCCGCGUGGAGGAUGAAGGUCUUCGGGUCGUAAACUCCUGUCGGAGGGGACGAAAGCGGUUGGGGUUAAUACCCUCAGUCGUUGACGGUACCCUAUGAGGAAGCCCCGGCUAACUCC
rnacentral:rRNA from 1 species